GUAAAUAUUUAUUGAGCCUAUACCCUGUGCUAGGUACGUGCAGCAAAGAACAGAGUAGGCGCGGGGUGGGGAAGGGGCGGGAGGAAGCGAGGGGGGUUGGGCAAAGCCGGGCCGAGUGCCUGCGAGCGCCUCCUGUUCUGGUCCCAUAAAUCAGGAGCUGAGAGGAGCACUCUGUCUCCUGAUUUUAUUCUCUACGGAGGAGACCUGCUGCUGUGUCUCUCCCUUCGAAGCCAAGCUGAUCAGUAAGAGGUCUAGCCGUGAACCGGAAACUGUGGUGGUUUCGAUGGUCCGAGUGGAAAAAAUUACGUUUGCUCAUGCAGGAUUUGGGGCCUGGGGCAGGAGAGAGGCCCAGAGCCGCUACCCAGGAAGUGACUCAGGAGCAUGGCUUCUCAGUUGCAAAUAUGGAGUUCCUUUGUGGGGAAACCAUCCUGCCAGGUGAAGAAAUGAAGCUGGCAUAAUGCUAUGGGGACCCGGAAACCACGGAUAGAAGUAAGUUCCUCUCCUCCUCUGGUCUCCUUCUAAGAUCUCCAUUGGCAGAGGUAACUGGGAUUCAGCUGCAAAGUAGAGACCCAGGCCUGACUCCCCAAAGUGUGCAGAAGAAUAGUUUUGAUGUCAACAGACACCAACUUAAUAACUGGCGUCCCUACUCUCUUCUCUUUAUUUCUUGAUUACAUGUCCGUAUGUGAGUGGUUUUCAUGCAAUAUCUGCUCUCUCUCAGCUCCAUUCAUUUUCUCAAAUUUAUGAAAUUUGGCUUUGUUAUCAUCAUGCUACUGUACUUUUUGAAAAAGGCCUUCCAAUGACCAAAUCCCGCGGGCCUGUUUCUGCGCUUGUUUCACGUGGCCUGCCCAUUGAGGCAUGUGACAUUGUGGAUCUGUUCUCUUAAAUGACAAAUGCUAUCCACACUACUUCAUAAAUGGAAUAUGUGUUCAUUCAAAGUGUCAACUACAAAUAUAAAGCAACAUCACUGUUUAAUUGUGAAUUCACCCAGCACACAGCAAACACCCUCAGACAAAGCCAUUUAUUUAUAGUAUAGUAACCUGGUAUCGGAGGGAUUGUGGGCAGGAGGAGAAGGGGAUGACAGAGGAUGAGAUGGCUGGAUGGCAUCACCGACUCGACGGACGUGAGUUUGAGUGAACUCCGGGAGAUGGUGAUGGACAGGGAGGCCUGGUGUGCUGCAAUUCAUGGGGUUGCAAAGAGUUGGACAUGACUGAGCGACUGAACUGACUGAACUGAACUUGGUAUCAGAAAUCAUAUCUGUAUUCAAGGUUGAUUAAGUUAGGUCAUAUUUGGAAUUUCUUUAAAAGUUAAUUUCUCUUUAUUACUUAUUUAUUCAGCACGUACAUAUCAAGGACCUUCCCAUGCCAGAGUCUUUUCUAG
ensembl:lncRNA